GGUUAAGCGACUAAGCGUACACGGUGGAUGCCCUGGCAGUCAGAGGCGAUGAAGGACGUGCUAAUCUGCGAUAAGCGUCGGUAAGGUGAUAUGAACCGUUAUAACCGGCGAUUUCCGAAUGGGGAAACCCAGUGUGAUUCGUCACACUAUCAUUAACUGAAUCCAUAGGUUAAUGAGGCGAACCGGGGGAACUGAAACAUCUAAGUACCCCGAGGAAAAGAAAUCAACCGAGAUUCCCCCAGUAGCGGCGAGCGAACGGGGAGCAGCCCAGAGCCUGAAUCAGUGUGUGUGUUAGUGGAAGCGUCUGGAAAGGCGCGCGAUACAGGGUGACAGCCCCGUACACAAAAAUGCACAUGCUGUGAGCUCGAUGAGUAGGGCGGGACACGUGGUAUCCUGUCUGAAUAUGGGGGGACCAUCCUCCAAGGCUAAAUACUCCUGACUGACCGAUAGUGAACCAGUACCGUGAGGGAAAGGCGAAAAGAACCCCGGCGAGGGGAGUGAAAAAGAACCUGAAACCGUGUACGUACAAGCAGUGGGAGCCUCUUUAUGGGGUGACUGCGUACCUUUUGUAUAAUGGGUCAGCGACUUAUAUUCUGUAGCAAGGUUAACCGAAUAGGGAGCCGAAGGGAAACCGAGUCUUAACUGGGCGUUAAGUUGCAGGGUAUAGACCCGAAACCCGGUGAUCUAGCCAUGGGCAGGUUGAAGGUUGGGUAACACUAACUGGAGGACCGAACCGACUAAUGUUGAAAAAUUAGCGGAUGACUUGUGGCUGGGGUGAAAGGCCAAUCAAACCGGGAGAUAGCUGGUUCUCCCGAAAGCUAUUUAGGUAGCGCCUCGUGAACUCAUCUCCGGGGUAGAGCACUGUUUCGGCAAGGGGGUCAUCCCGACUUACCAACCCGAUGCAAACUGCGAAUACCGGAGAAUGUUAUCACGGGAGACACACGGCGGGUGCUAACGUCCGUCGUGAAGAGGGAAACAACCCAGACCGCCAGCUAAGGUCCCAAAGUCAUGGUUAAGUGGGAAACGAUGUGGGAAGGCCCAGACAGCCAGGAUGUUGGCUUAGAAGCAGCCAUCAUUUAAAGAAAGCGUAAUAGCUCACUGGUCGAGUCGGCCUGCGCGGAAGAUGUAACGGGGCUAAACCAUGCACCGAAGCUGCGGCAGCGACACUAUGUGUUGUUGGGUAGGGAGCGUUCUGUAAGCCUGUGAAGGUGUGCUGUGAGGCAUGCUGGAGGUAUCAGAAGUGCGAAUGCUGACAUAAGUAACGAUAAAGCGGGUGAAAAGCCCGCUCGCCGGAAGACCAAGGGUUCCUGUCCAACGUUAAUCGGGGCAGGGUGAGUCGACCCCUAAGGCGAGGCCGAAAGGCGUAGUCGAUGGGAAACAGGUUAAUAUUCCUGUACUUGGUGUUACUGCGAAGGGGGGACGGAGAAGGCUAUGUUGGCCGGGCGACGGUUGUCCCGGUUUAAGCGUGUAGGCUGGUUUUCCAGGCAAAUCCGGAAAAUCAAGGCUGAGGCGUGAUGACGAGGCACUACGGUGCUGAAGCAACAAAUGCCCUGCUUCCAGGAAAAGCCUCUAAGCAUCAGGUAACAUCAAAUCGUACCCCAAACCGACACAGGUGGUCAGGUAGAGAAUACCAAGGCGCUUGAGAGAACUCGGGUGAAGGAACUAGGCAAAAUGGUGCCGUAACUUCGGGAGAAGGCACGCUGAUAUGUAGGUGAAGUCCCUCGCGGAUGGAGCUGAAAUCAGUCGAAGAUACCAGCUGGCUGCAACUGUUUAUUAAAAACACAGCACUGUGCAAACACGAAAGUGGACGUAUACGGUGUGACGCCUGCCCGGUGCCGGAAGGUUAAUUGAUGGGGUUAGCGGUAACGCGAAGCUCUUGAUCGAAGCCCCGGUAAACGGCGGCCGUAACUAUAACGGUCCUAAGGUAGCGAAAUUCCUUGUCGGGUAAGUUCCGACCUGCACGAAUGGCGUAAUGAUGGCCAGGCUGUCUCCACCCGAGACUCAGUGAAAUUGAACUCGCUGUGAAGAUGCAGUGUACCCGCGGCAAGACGGAAAGACCCCGUGAACCUUUACUAUAGCUUGACACUGAACAUUGAGCCUUGAUGUGUAGGAUAGGUGGGAGGCUUUGAAGUGUGGACGCCAGUCUGCAUGGAGCCGACCUUGAAAUACCACCCUUUAAUGUUUGAUGUUCUAACGUUGGCCCCUGAUCGGGGUUGCGGACAGUGUCUGGUGGGUAGUUUGACUGGGGCGGUCUCCUCCUAAAGAGUAACGGAGGAGCACGAAGGUUGGCUAAUCCUGGUCGGACAUCAGGAGGUUAGUGCAAUGGCAUAAGCCAGCUUGACUGCGAGCGUGACGGCGCGAGCAGGUGCGAAAGCAGGUCAUAGUGAUCCGGUGGUUCUGAAUGGAAGGGCCAUCGCUCAACGGAUAAAAGGUACUCCGGGGAUAACAGGCUGAUACCGCCCAAGAGUUCAUAUCGACGGCGGUGUUUGGCACCUCGAUGUCGGCUCAUCACAUCCUGGGGCUGAAGUAGGUCCCAAGGGUAUGGCUGUUCGCCAUUUAAAGUGGUACGCGAGCUGGGUUUAGAACGUCGUGAGACAGUUCGGUCCCUAUCUGCCGUGGGCGCUGGAGAACUGAGGGGGGCUGCUCCUAGUACGAGAGGACCGGAGUGGACGCAUCACUGGUGUUCGGGUUGUCAUGCCAAUGGCACUGCCCGGUAGCUAAAUGCGGAAGAGAUAAGUGCUGAAAGCAUCUAAGCACGAAACUUGCCCCGAGAUGAGUUCUCCCUGACUCCUUGAGAGUCCUGAAGGAACGUUGAAGACGACGACGUUGAUAGGCCGGGUGUGUAAGCGCAGCGAUGCGUUGAGCUAACCGGUACUAAUGAACCGUGAGGCUUAACCUU
rnacentral:rRNA from 1 species